rnacentral:tRNA from 1 species
GUGAAAUUGGUAGACACGCUGCUCUUAGGAAGCAGUGCUAGAGCAUCUCGGUUCGAGUCCAGUGCUAGAGCAUCUCGGUUCGAGUCCGAGUGGCGGCA